UGAGGAAUAUUGGUCAAUGGGCGCAGGCCUGAACCAGCCAAGUCGCGUGAGGGAGGACGGUCCUACGGAUUGUAAACCUCUUUUGUCGGGGAGUAACGUGCGGGACGGGUCCCGUAUUGAGAGUACCCGAAGAAAAAGCAUCGGCUAACUCCGUGCCAGCAGCCGCGGUAAUACGGAGGAUCCGAGCGUUAUCCGGAUUUAUUGGGUUUAAAGGGUGCGCAGGCGGCCUUGCAAGUCAGCGGUCAAAUCGUGGAGCUCAACUCCAUUCCGCCGUUGAUACUGCCGGGCUUGAUUGCGGUUGAGGUUGGCGGAAUUCGUCGUGUAGCGGUGAAAUGCAUAGAUAUGACGAAGAACCCCGAUUGCGUAGGCAGCUGACCAAGCCGUAAAUGACGCUCA
rnacentral:rRNA from 1 species